rnacentral:rRNA from 1 species
UACGAAGGGGGCUAGCGUUGCUCGGAAUCACUGGGCGUAAAGGGUGCGUAGGUGGGUCUUUAAGUCAGGGGUGAAAUCCUGGAGCUCAACUCCAGAACUGCCUUUGAUACUGAAGAUCUUGAGUUCGGGAGAGGUGAGUGGAACUGCGAGUGUAGAGGUGAAAUUCGUAGAUAUUCGCAAGAACACCAGUGGCGAAGGCGGCUCACUGGCCCGGUACUGACGCUGAGGUGCGAAAGCGUGGGGAGCAAACAGG